AUUUAUUUUACCUUUAUUUAACUAGGCAAGCCAGUUAAGAACAAAUGCUUAUUUACAAUGACGGCCUAGGAACAGUGGGUUAACUGCCUGUUCAGGGACAGAACGACAGAUUUGUACCUUGUCAGCUCGGGGGUUUGAACUUGCAACCUUCCGGUUACUAGUCCAGCGUUCUAACCACGACCCUGCCGACUAUGAACAGGGCACCUGGUUUACGCCCGGGAGGGGUUCCAAAACGAAUGCCAGAUUAAUCGAGUCCCCUCUAUGAAGGGAAGCGAAGUAGGAGGUUGGUCAAUUUUCACGUGGAGCUAGGCAAAAUUAGAUUUGUUUACAUAAUCGAAUCCUACAGAUGAAGAACCAUAUAUUUGACAUAAAAAAAAUAGAUAUACAUGAAAAAUCAUUAUUGGACACCCUUUUUCUAUAGUGAACCGGUUUCACAAGCUUUCCACGCGCUAUUUAACAAUCAUUUUAAAUUUAAAGAUAGGCUCUCGUGGAAUAACCGUUUAUGUGCACCACUCAGAAUGGACGGACAAGCACACAACUUUUCUGUUGCUGAUGAAAAUCGCCGAAAUGUGGGAAAGAAACGUAAAACAAAACUAAUAGAAUGGAAAGACAGGCGAAGGAAGAUCUUACGGGAUGCUGGAAAACCCUAUACAAAUCGUAAGGGUUAAGAAAAAACUGGGGAAAAGCUGUCCAAAAUAGGGAUUGCACACCGAGGGCCCAUUGAGGUGGCAAGCUGCAUAUUGAAGUGGGUGAAGGCAAAAUUCACGCCACUCACCAAACCAGAGGUGCGCAAGUUGAUCAUAUUCAGUGACAGAUGCUGUGGGCAGAAUAACAACUGGCGGAUGCUCAAUCUGAUGUCGAUGCUCGUCUCUAUGGGUUACUUUACCCAAGUUGAGCAGAAGUUCAUGGUCUCUGGUCAUUCUUGUCUUCAUUGUGAUUGAUCUUUUGCCACCAUCGAGAAGAGGCGCAAGUUGUCAGUCCUUCAUACACCUGAUGAUGUUUCAAAGAUGAUACUUGAAGCACAACCAGCAAAACCAUUCAAGGUGAUGAGGAUGCAAUGUGAAGACUUCAGGCACCUCCCAGAUUCUGUCCUCAAGCGACCAGCUGGACUACAGAUCACCUCAGUGAAGUGGUUAAAAGUCACAGGAUCCUUGGAAUCUGUACGCCAGACAGAGCCACAGUCUAUUUGAGGGAUGGAAAUCGUGGCUGAUCUCCAAACCACAACAAGGAGCUACACCUCAACCUCCCUAUUUUGCAAGCCACUACCCUAGAACAUAUGAGAGUCCUCUGCCCAUCAAAAAAAAACAAGUACCAAGAUCUGAUGACCAUGCUCAACUACUUGCCAGCUGCUGCACACUCUUUUUAUAAAUCACUGCAGAGUGAAUAAUUUGUUGUUAAACCAAUCUACAUAAUUAACUGUUUUUUUCUGUGAGUUUAUGAUCCCUGAACCUGUAUAGUAUGUUGAAUCUGAAUACAUUUCAGAAGACAUGUUAGGAAAUUAAAUGUAUAGUAGGUGUUUUCUAUGUGAAUCAAUUUGUGUAUGAUUUGAACCAGCACAAUAUAAUGAAUUAAUUUAAUUUUAAGAUGUUCUUAGUGUAGAAAAUGUUAUGUACAAUGUGUUCUGUUGAGAAUAAUUUUGUGUGUGAUCAUUUGAACUUUUUUUAAUCUGAAUUAAUUAAAAACAAAUAAG
ensembl:lncRNA